UACGGGGGGAGCAAGCGUUGUUCGGAUUUACUGGGCGUAAAGGGCGCGUAGGCGGCCACCGCAAGUCGACUGUGAAAUCUCCGGGCUUAACCCGGAAAGGUCAGCCGAUACUGCGGGGCUAGAGUGCAGAAGGGGCAACUGGAAUUCUCGGUGUAGCGGUGAAAUGCGUAGAUAUCAGGAGGAACACCUGCGGUGUAGACAGCUUUCUGGACCACUUCUGACGCUGAGACACGAAAGCGUGGGUAGCAAACAGG
rnacentral:rRNA from 1 species